ensembl:lncRNA
UUUUUUCUAUCUACUCUAGGGGGCCAGUGUGACCUCAGUGACAUCCAUUUCAUAUCAUCAGAAACCUCGUGCUGCUUUCAAAAACCCCUCGAAAUGUCAAAUGUCACGACUAAGCAACUAACCGAGAAUUUGAAUCUCUUUCCAUGGAAAAAAAUGCACCACUAUCUUCUACAAGGGUUUUCUUUACAGGAAAGACUGCCUGUAUGCGUUCCUUUUGAAUAUACGAGACAUUUUCCCAAGACCAGAAAACCCUUGACGGGUUUUAGCAUCUAAAAAUAACAAAUUCUCCUGAGCCAAGACAAAUAAGAAGGAGAACACAGUGUACCUGGACUUGACGAAAGACUAUGUGUCUCCCAUCUUCUCUGAAGAAAAAUCUAUUUGAAUAGUCAUCUUCAGCAGGUCAUUGCUCAGCUGUAUUUACCUCUCUGCCUGCUUAUGGAGGAGCAGCUGUUACACUUGUUUGACAAGUUUGUUUGGCUUCCUGCAGCACUACCAGCCAAGUCAAGCAUUUACUGGGUUUUUUCAAGGGAUGUUCUUAGAAAACGAGAGCCAUCGGCCGACUCGCUGACUCAUCAUCACUCGACACAAACUCAAUAGGUUCUCAUUUAGGACUGCCAAUCAUGACAUUCAGAAGGCCCUGCGCAAAGUUUAAAUUUAGUUUGCGGGACAACAUUGAUUAAGAUACAGCAAGAGAUGAUGAUCAUUUACCCAUCAAUUCACAAAGGUCUUCAAACUUGUUUUUUCCACCCCGUUUAAAUUUCACUGAAGCCAAAUAUAAGCAGCAGAGCUGAAUGUAACUGAGUCACAACAAAGAUCCAAACGGAUUAUUGUUGUAACUUUGAGUUCCGCAUCCGCCUAAGGUUAGAUAUCAAACAAAGAACAAAGACUUCUGGAACACUAUAAUUUACCAGAUUUGUUCUUAUGAUAAAGUCAAAAUUGUGUCAGCUCCAUUUGUUCCACCAAGUACUUCCGACACGUGCACUGCUCUACACGUAUUCACACCCACAGACCAACAUGCUACACACACACACACACACACACACACACACACAGACACACACUUCUUUGCAUUUGGAGAAAACACUCCCAAGCACACAUUUGGAGUUACUUCCAGGUGGAAUAGGAUUGCAUGCAAAUAGAUUGCCAUUAAUCCAAUGGGAUGAUGAUGAUGAUGAUGAUGUGAUGCUCAAAUGCUUUUCUGUGAGAGACAUUUUUUCAAUGGAGAGCCUGAGGUGAACAACAUGCUGUUUGACUGAAGCAAAUCCCCACAUCGCGGCAGAGCUAACAGGUGAAAUGGCACAUUUGCAGACAGGAAACUCUUUUAUGGGAAAGUAACGCUGCAAUUUAAUUUACAUGCUGUAGGUCCCCUUAAGGCUUCUCUCAUCUGAGACCAUAGCAUCAUAUCCGUUGGGAUUUCUUGAACGGAGGUCCGAAAACAUGGAGAGGACAGCUUAUAAUAAGUUCUAAGGAUUUUGUUGUGGAUCAAACACCUCAUCAUCAGGCGCUUGCAGGCGAAACAUUGAACACAACAAGUCUCACCCUUCUCACAAAGCCUCGGAGGCAAUCAUCUAAUGAUUUUCACAGCACUGCUAAAAUGUCCACUCAGCAGCUCUCCGUAUGUAGAGCCUGGGCUCCCGCCAGGCCAUUUCCAGCUUCAAGCAUCAUCGGCCAAGAAUCCCCCCUGACGAACGCGCCGUACUGGUACAAUACGGUCCGAGUGCCUCACGCACCAAACCCUCGGGCCUGUUAUUGUCUUUGCAGUCAUGGGAGAUUUUGACCGUCAAAGCCAACAAACGUGCGAGUCAAAUUUAAGUGAUGUGACUCAACCGUCACGACCUGGCAUUCAAUUCUGGUAAAUAUGAAGAGUACUUAAGAAAGUGCUGGACUUGUAGUUUUCUCACGGACGGAGGAAAAUCACCUCUUUGCCAGCAAGCAGGGCAGCUGCCGUACAAAUGUGUGACGGUAAAUGUCCCAUUUGUGUGGGCAGGUACCUCGUCCCGGAUGGCCAGUAAUGGCGGGAGGGAGAAGUGGGUGCCGACCAAGUGAAAUAUUGAGAAGCAGCACUAAAAGAUACUGUUUCAUGGCGUCUACCAGAUAAACUCUAUUGGGCCGCACGCUCAUUACAAGGAAGAAAAAAGGACAAUUCAUCUGCGGUUUUGUGCAGCCAAAACAGUUCGGUCUCAUCUGGCAGACAAGCUGCCGAGCCGCAUUGAGGACAUUUUCUUUGUUUUUCAUUGCUCUUUAUUGAAGGAGCCGAGCUGAGAUGAACCUGUGAUGUAACCACUAGGAUCUUGUCGUCUGUAGAUUAUCGUACUGCUGUGGUCCAACAUCCACAAAUGUGAGUUAAAUAGUUUAAACUACUCCAAUUACCAUUAGAAAGAAACAAAUGAAGGGAUCCGAUCUGAGAGACAACAGUCAUUGUGUCUAACUAAUUUGUUGCCAACCAUAAGCAAGGAAAUUGCAAAGGAUGUUCACAAACAUGUUGCACCCGAGGGUUCCCAUCUGAGGUACAAAACAGCAGAACCAACUUCCAACGGGAAUAUCCUGUACUCAUCACGAACAAAUAUAGGAAUGCUUCACAUCACAGUCCUGGACUCUUGGCUACGAUAUGCACCAACCUGUUAUAUACUCCAAACAACUCCAACAAGUUAUAAAAAAUGAUAUGCAAAAGUCCAGAAAAUGUGCACACAGCGGUCACUUUGUAACAUUUCUCAGCAAAACAAUGAGCGAACGAAGAAAGCAGCACACAGAAGAGCACGCCGAGAGGACGCUAAAGGCGCUGAUAUAAGCAUCUCACCUGCUGGCAAUCAGCACUGCUUAAGGGCCCCGGUUUCCUCUCCACUCGUCACCGGAUUAUUUCUCCGUCUCAGUAGAAGUUAAAUCCCGGCCGCUCUACAUCUUACCUGACUGAAGAGUAGUUUUUUUUUGUACUUUCUGAGCAUUGCGCUUUAUAUGUCUAACUUCUCCUUCCUGUGCGCAAUUCACGAAAUUCAAAGUUGUUUUUUUUAGGGUCAUAUGGAUUGAUUUCUUACACUCACAGGGGUUCUUCUUUAUUCCCACAGAAAAAGAAAUGUCCAGAUAGACAAAGUAGUUAGAGUGAUUGCACUUUGACUGCCUCGGGGUGCAAGAGGAUGAUGUGUAUUCAAAUUGAAUUAACAAACAACAAUAAGCAGCAAUAAUUGGAAAACUAAGGAUAAAAGAUAUACAUAUGUUAUUAUAAUCAUAAUUUCUUUAAUGAAACAGGGACACAAAUGAAAAAUACUUCUGUGGUUUAGAGUAGUUAAAUAUAGAAUUCAACUGAUAAUUAUGAUUAAAAAAUCUUUCCUCUCGGCCACCAAUGUUUAAAGUAAUCAAUGAUCAUCACCACUACUUUCUCAACUGUGCUGGGGCGUUGCUGACAAAUCCCAGGUUCUGGAUAAGGACUGUGAAAUGUAGGGAGACUGUCCGACUGACUUUUACAUACAAAUGCUAAUAUGAUUUGGGACAAGGUGAGCUGGGAAGGUACUGUGGAAUGCUCGCAUUGUAAAGCGUGUAAAUGAUAGCUAGUCACGUCUGUGCAGAUAAUAUCCUCCGUCUCUGCAGGUAUUUUCCCAUUUGCAGCAGAGGCCAUUUGCAAAGCCGCAUUAGCAGAUCUGCAUUCAUAAAACAUUUGCCAACUGCGGAAAUCAGCAAUUUGAAUUUCCUUUCCGUAUCUUAUCCAUGUAUGUAACGAACCAAAAAUGACCAAAAAUAAGGUAUGAAAUCAAUCUGAUGCCCAGCAAGCAAGUUUGUGGUUUUAAAAUGUUAGUCUAUAAGGUUGAUAUGUGCAUUUUAGAGUAAGUUGAAGUUGCUGAAAGUUAAAAACUGCUUAUCACCUGGAAACACCAAAGAGAUGUGAAGGUGGUAACGGGGAGGGGAUCACUUCAAGUGCAACAGCAGUUUGUAUUUGAGAGGAGAGAGUGGAUGCAUGUAAUUAGACUGUAGACAUUGAAUGGUACUUCAGAAAGGCUACGUGAACUCUCUCACUCUCUCACUCCAUAUCUUGUUUUGACAGGCUGACGUUGCCACAUUUUGCCACAAGAGUCUGUGUCAAUAAGCAUUGAUUUGGCAUUGUUACCGCACACGCCCAACUCUGGAUGUAGUUUGAUUCGUCAUUCAGUUUGUUGCUGUUGAAGUCAGUACACAGGAGUCAAAAUGUUCCUGUAUAUUUUCACAGACAGCAGAGACCACUUUGCAGCAAAUGUUUGUAUUGUGAGAUUAAAGAUUUGAUUUCUCACAGAGUCGCAUAGAGCAGAGGUCUUCAACAGGGGGUCCGCGGAGGUACUGCAAGGGGGUCGCGAAAUUUUUGGUUGAUAAGACAAUUUUUUUUCCACAAAUUUAAAUGUCUUCAGAAUCAGAAUUGUAUUUAUUGUCUUCUUUAUUGUUACACAUAAACAUAAAUCCAACAUAUUGUAGCGAACGGAUAAAUUAAUGGAGAAGACAUUAUCUUUCAGUCCGCAAAACACACAUCCAGCUUCCCACAGCAGCUCUCAAGCUGGACACCGGUUCAUUCACAGCAUCUUUCAUGCUGAUAGGACAGCAGAGGCACCAGCUAAUCAGAUCACGUUCAUGCUCACGUAAAAGCGCAAAGCUCAAAGAUAAAAGAUGGCGGACAAAACUCUGUAGAAUAGGGGGUCCCUGCUCCAUCUCGCCAUCAGUAUGGGGGUCCUUGGCCUGAAAAACGUUGAAGACCCCUGGCAUAGAGUAAAAAUCCUGAUAUGAAACUCCCUCUGAGUGUCGGAAACAAGCUCCAAUACUUUCAUGACUCAGUGCAUCCUGUUAUGACUUUGGAGGGCCAAACUUUUACUCCGCUAGAGAAAAAAACAAAAAGUCACCAGACUGCAGCAGCUACUGGUGUUCUCCAUGGUCGAGUCUAUUUAUGGUCUUUCCAAAAUCACAUUACUAAUCCCACAACACAGUUAUACAACAAAAUGUAUUUUGUGAGUCUCGACGUAUUACACAACGUUCCAUCCGUACGAGGUGUGUGAGAGGCGACCAGGCAGCCGGAGCCCACUCACCCAGGUGGGCUGCUGUAGAUUAUGUUCCUAUGUGGGCUUCACCACCAGCAUCCGCCCGCCAACAGAUCGGAUCGAAUCAUCAAGGCCAGGACUAGGGGAGUUUUGCCCAAAAAUAAUGAACUUUGUGUUAUAUAAUUCAUGUUGAUGGUGAAUCUGUUCCGAACUUAUUUUCUC